UCCCGCUGUAACGAAAGCACAGCCCUACCACUUGAACUAAAGAAGAAUCUCCUUAACUGAUCAGGAGUAUAGGAGCUAUGAAUCCAACUUCAGCAGCUCUUAUUCUUCCCAGCGGAGGGUGGUGAUAUACAUAAUAUUGAUCAAGAACCGAGAUGCCCUGUCUAGAGCACUUCUGAAAGCAGGCUUGUAUUGAAACAACCAGCAUGGGUUACUUGACCAGCAUGGACAUGGGAAUUGAUUUGAGGGAUGAUCCUUUGGUGGUUCCACAGACAUGAUGCGCCUCAAUCCAGUGGUACCCUGGAAGGAAGUUCUACCCAGCUAGACAAUGGUUCCAACCAGAACUGGAGGUGAGACAUUCUGAGAGAGAAUGGUACUUGCAGCCCUAAAAGAAGCAAGAAUCACCAGUGAUCAUAUGAGACAGAGGCUGUUUUGUGAGAUUUUUCAGCCUGAAUGUUUUCUCCAGUUAUUUAGAUGAGAUUGGUCUGAGCAUCUGGAUUUUUGGGUGCAUUUCCAAACCUCCUUGAAAGUCACCCAUCCCUGAGUGUUACCAGAGUUCCAAUUAAUUUAUGAUUCAGUGACCUCUGAUACUUUAUAUAAGCCUGAACCAAAACGUCUCUCAAACAUGGAGCAUUCAAAAGCUGGAUCUGAAUUGUGCAGCUAGGCUCCAUCUUUAAGAGGUACAAUCAGGUGCACACAUAGACAAGAAGUAAUGAACUUGGCUGGCCCAUCGUUUUGUUUGUUGGGCUGCAACAGAUGAUUAAGACUUUGGGUAGCAACAAAAACACCUGGGAGGCCCUGUAGGCUUAUUCCAGGCCAUUUUGUAAACUUAUUCAAACUUCUAUGCUAGCAGGAUUUCUCGGUUCGGUCCUUCACUUUGCCCCUGGUUCACUGUGUUGAUGAGCAAGGCAUUUCACCUCUCCGUGCACUGAUUUCCCUAUAUCAGAUAAGAAUGGGAGACACUGUGAGGCUUAAUUAUUGCUGGAAUAGAGCUUUGAAAUCCUUGAGUGAAAGGUGUUAGCUGAAACCCUUUGCAGUGGAUUUCUCUAUCUAUCAGCGGUUCUCAAACUUCAUUGCAUCAAGACCCCCUUCUGAUAACAAAAAUUACUACACAACCCCAGGAGGUGGGACCGAAGACUGAGCCCGUCCGAGCCCUGCCGCCCUGAGGCCAAAGCUGAAGCCCAGAUGCUUCUGCCCUGGGUAGGGUGACCAGAUGUCCCGAUUUUAUAGGGACAGUCCCACUUUUUGGGUCUUUUUCUUAUAUAGGCUCCUAUUACCCCCCACCCCGUCCCGAUUUUUCACACUUGCUGUCUGGUCACCCUAGCCCUGGGCUGGGGCCGGGGCGGGUGUGGGGGUGGUUGGGCUUCAGACUUGCUGGGGCCCAGGGCAAACACCAGACUUGGCAACCCCAUUAAAAUAGGGUUGGGACCCACUUUGGGGUCCCGACCCACAGUUUGAGAACCCCUGAUUUAGAUAUUUAAAUUUUGUUCUGUGCUGGUGUGAGAUUAGAUUAUUGUGAUUCCUUCUGGGAUGCCUACAGCAGGUGUGCAUUUAUGGGUGCUGUCUCAGUGAGGAAAAAUGUUAAAUUUAAAUAAAGAGAGAGUGUGGGUGAGGCAAUAUCUUUCACUGGACCAAAUUCUG